UGAGGAUGUGGCUUAGUGGUAGAGUGCUUGUCUGGCAUGCAGGAGGGCCUGGGUUCAGUCCACAGCACCACAA
rnacentral:tRNA from 1 species